GAGCCCCUUAGGAAGAGCAGGACUCUGUCCCCGUGUCUCAGCUGUCUGUGACGAUGGUCCCCUGCAGCACUCUGUAAGCCUCUGGAAAGUGGCUUUGCCAUCUGAGACGCACCCUUCCUUUCCUGGCCACCGAACACGGAUGUGAUUUCAGUUCCCUGAAACUCCACUUACCCCGACAAGACAAGCACGUCCCGAGGGUGUCCGACCUGUUUCCUGUCACAGGGUCCCCAGCAUGGCAGGCUGCACCCCUGGUGCUUGAGGUGGGGCAGGAGGUGAGGUAGGUACCUGUUAACUCCUGGAGCAGAGAUUCGGGUGGGGAGGUGCUGGGGAGACGUCAGGGCUGCCUGCCUUGUGCCCCUUGGUGGAACCCAUGCUAUGCUUUGUGGCCGUGUGCAUCUGGAGGCCAGUCGCUGCCCUUGACCACCUCUCAAGAGGGCAGCUGGGUGCCAGGCGCCUGGGCAGGUGCCCUCCAACCCCCAGUGGGGGAGGGUGCUCUUCUCACCUCACCUCCUCCUGAGAGUCUGCAGAAGGGAGCUUUCCCAGGCCGUUCGCCUCUGUCCCGAGCCACGGCGCUGAGGAGACCGGGCCGGCUGGCAUGGGACGGGCCUGAUGCCUCUCCCACGCUGAAGCCGUGAGGACAGACCUACCAGUGUGCCCGGACAGGGGACCCUCGUGGGACAGCAGCUGCUCCUCCUGACCCACGCACUGCGUACUUCCAGAGCGGCCCCACCUUUCACGUGGAAUGAGGCGCUGCAGGCAAGGAACCCGGCAGAGCCAGGACUCCCUGCGAGCAGGACCUGCUCCUCCGCAGCAGCUGAGUCUGGACGUGUCGGUGGCCUCCUCCGGGCCCCCAGGAGCACUUCCUACUGAAGACCCGAUUUGAAGGGGAUGUUCCCCACCAGGCGUUCCCAGGAGCAAGUGUCAAGCACACAUCCCGGGCAGGGAGCCUCAUUCCUGGAAAUGGGUUGCAGCUGGAAGGGGGCCACCCCGUGCCAUCACCAAGGCCCCUGACCUAGUCUGGGUAACUGCUCCUGGACACUGUCCCCUCCGAAGCUCAGACAGGGCUCAAGGCUGCCCUCCACACGCGCGCGCACACACACACACACACAGAUUCACACUCAAGCGCGCGCACUUGGUUGAAACCAGACAGGCAGGCCUACCAGGCACAGCCCCUGCACAGCCGUGGCACAGUAAGGCCCUGGGCAGGAGCCCCGCCCCGCACACAGUGGACCCCGGCCAGCCUGAGGUUUUGAUAUACUGCACCCCACCCCCCACUAGGCUGGGCACCCACUGGCAUGCCCAUCCGCGGGCGGCACAGGUGAGCAGGCGGUGUGCACAGUGAGGGCUUGGAGUCACGAGGCAGCCGCCACCUGAUGCAGCUUGGACAGGAACACGCCCUCACCCAGUGCUGCCUGGGAUCGUCCUCGGCUCACGAGGUCUUUCCAACUAGAGGGAGCACCUGUGGGGCGCCUACUGUGCGCCAGGCUUGGCAGCCCCACAGGCCUCCAGCUGCCCCAUCGCAGGUGGGCCAGCCCGGGGGGCAGGAGAGUCUCAGUGUCCUGCUGCACGCCCCAGCCCCCCUGCUGGUCUAUGUUCCACUCUGACUGCCCUUCCUGGUCCUCAGCUCCACGGCACAGGUCAGCAGGGACCAGCUCAGUGGGCGACCUUGGAAGGCUAUCAGGU
rnacentral:lncRNA from 1 species